rnacentral:lncRNA from 1 species
UUGGAGCCCGACCCGGCUCGGGGCGGCGGCGGCGCGCACCCCCUGCCGGCCGGGAGCGGGGGGGACCGCCCCGCACAGCGACCCUCCGGGGCGGCUCAGCGAGGAGAGGGACGGGUCGGGACCAGCGGUGGGGCGGCUGAUAGUAGCCGGGCAGGGCAGGGCGAGCCGCCACCACAACCAGCAGCAGCAGCACAACCACCGCCCGGCUCAGCGCUCGGGAAUUCCAAACUUUCCAGCCAAAAUGGCGGCCUGGAGGCUGGGGGGAGAGCACCCCCCCUCUCCCACGUGACCGGGCCCGGCUGCCGCCCAAUCAGCGCACGGAGCGGCCCGGGGCCGGUACCUAACGGAGGGGCGGGGGGAGGAGGCAAGCACUUCAAAGCCCACGUGCACAUCGCGUGUCCCGCAGGCAGAGCUGGGAGUCAGAGCCCAUCCCGCUGCUGCCGUUCCCCAUCCCAGGCUGCAUCUCCUGUUGGUUUUUCGGAUACAGACUCGGCUUGGGAACAUCCCCGUGGAAGGGAAGAACCUCCUGGGAAUGGACGUGGGUUUGAUAGUCAAAAACCAGCGCUGAGUUCGGCUGUGGAACACGCCUAAAGGAAACGGACCCAGCACAGAGCUCUGCUCUGAUCCAGCCCCGUUCAUCCCUCAGCUUUCUGCCAUGGAAGAGCCCGUGUAGAUCUGUGAAGAAAACAACGUGCAUUCAGUGUGUUUUACCAAUUUAUGGGAACUUUACCAAUUCCCGUAGCAUCAGGGAUCUGGCACUCUCUGGUACAAGUCCACAUAUCUUAUAAUGAGACCAUAUUAAGUGAGGAUGGACAUUGGCUUCAUGUGUUUACAACAACACUGAACGUACUUUAAAAGUGUCCAUAUUCCCCGUGGUGUCAGAGUUGUACAUGUACAUGAGGAGAAGAGCAGCCCAGAUUGAGCCAGCAGAAAGGAGAUAUCCACGCAGUGAGGUUGGUUUGUUGUCUGACAAAAACAUUUAUUACAGAGCGAAAAAUGAAUAAACACUUGCAAUUAAAUGAACUGAAUAAGUUC